CACUGCAGCCUUACUGGAGGGACUGGGAGGGGGGGAACUGGUCCCAGUAAGGUCCCAUCCUCCCUGUACCCAGUAAGGGAGAGAUGCCCUCAACAAAGAUGGCGGCGCCCAUGGGAGGGCGGCGAGGCCCCGCCCCCUCCCUGGCACCGGCUGAGCCAAUUGGAGCGCCUCAAGCUUCCCCCUCGGCACGGGAUUGGCUGAUGGAAAGGGGAGGGGAGGCGGAAAGAGCCGAAGCUUUCCGGAGAGAGCCGAAGCGGGUGUUUGUGUGUGGGAGGGGUGGCGGCGUUCGGGGAGGCUUCCGGAAAGAGCCGAAGUUUUCCGGCGAGACACGAAGGCGGCGGGGAGGAGGGCGCGGAGCCGGAAAGUGCCGAAGCGUUCCGGAAAGAGCCGAAAGCCCUUCCUCGGCAGAACGCCGGUGAAGAAUCCGGAAAGAGCCGAACCCCUUCCGGAAAUAGCCGAAGGGAAGAACCCGGAACGAGUCGCGUUCCUUCCGGACGAACCCGAAGCGUUCCGGGGGCCUUCCCGAACCCUGCCCGGAAACCUCCGAUUCCCCCCUCCCGGCUCCUUUCCGGAGAAUCCCGAAGGCGUUCCGAAAAGACCCGAAGCACCUUCCGGAAAGCCCCGAAGCUCUUCCGAAGAGACCCGAAGCCGUUCCGGAAAGACCCGAAGGCUCUUCCGGACAAUCCCGAAGCUCUUUCGAAGAGACCCGAAGCUUUUCCGGAGAGAGCCGAAGCCGUUACGGAAAGUCCCGAAGCCGUUCCGGAAAGACCCGAAGCCCCUUCCGGAUAAUCCCGAAGCUCUUUCGAAGAGACCCGAAGCUCUUCCGGAGAAAGCCGAAGCCGUUCCGGAGAGCCCCGAAUCCCUUCCGGAAGUUGCCGAAGAGCCCCGAAACCCUUCCGGAGCCUCCCGAAGAGCCCCGAAUCCCUCCCGGAGGUUCCCGAAACCCUUCCGGAGCCUCCCGAAGAUCUCCGAACCCCUUCCGGAAAGCCCAGAAGCCCUUCCGGAAAAGCCCCGAAGCCCUUCCGGAAAAGCCCGAAGCCCUUCCGGAAAAGCCCGAAGCCCUUCCGGAAAGCCCCGAACCCCUUCCGGAGAGUGCCGAAGCCCUUCCGGAAGUUGCCGAGCGGUGCCGGCCGUUGCCGCCUCCUCCUCCCUCCUCCUCCUCCCCGCCGCCGCCGCCUCCGUUCCG
rnacentral:lncRNA from 1 species